GUUGAAGUGGUAGAAUUAAAUACGUCGGAUUUAAGCUCCGGAGAUAGGGUUAACCCUCUUUAA
rnacentral:tRNA from 3 species